CCUACGGGUGGCUGCAGUGAGGAAUAUUGGUCAAUGGGCGCGAGCCUGAACCAGCCAAGUCGCGUGAGGGAAGAAGGUCCUAUGGAUUGUAAACUGCUUUUGUACGAGGGUAAACGCAGAUACGCGUAUCUGUCUGAAAGUAUCGUACGAAUAAGGAUCGGCUAACUCCGUGCCAGCAGCCGCGGUAAUACGGAGGAUUCAAGCGUUAUCCGGAUUUAUUGGGUUUAAAGGGUGCGUAGGCGGUCGGAUAAGUUAGAGGUGAAAUCCCGAGGCUCAACUUCGGAAUUGCCUCUGAUACUGGUCGCCUAGAGUGUAGAUGCGGUAGGCGGAAUGUGUGGUGGAGCGGUGAAAUGCUUAGAGAUCAUGCAGAACACCGAUUGCGAAGGCAGCUUACCAGGCUACUACUGACGUUGAGGCACGAAAGCGUGGGGAGCAAACAGGAUUAGAUACCCGGGUAGUC
rnacentral:rRNA from 1 species